rnacentral:rRNA from 1 species
GACGAACGCUGGCGGCGUGCCUAAUACAUGCAAGUAGAACGCUGAAGGAGGAGCUUGCUUCUCUGGAUGAGUUGCGAACGGGUGAGUAACGCGUAGGUAACCUGCCUGGUAGCGGGGGAUAACUAUUGGAAACGAUAGCUAAUACCGCAUAAGAGUAGAUGUUGCAUGACAUUUGCUUAAAAGGUGCAAUUGCAUCACUACCAGAUGGACCUGCGUUGUAUUAGCUAGUUGGUGGGGUAACGGCUCACCAAGGCGACGAUACAUAGCCGACCUGAGAGGGUGAUCGGCCACACUGGGACUGAGACACGGCCCAGACUCCUACGGGAGGCAGCAGUAGUGAAUCUUCGGCAAUGGACGGAAGUCUGACCGAGCAACGCCGCGUGAGUGAAGAAGGUUUUCGGAUCGUAAAGCUCUGUUGUAAGAGAAGAACGAGUGUGAGAGUGGAAAGUUCACACUGUGACGGUAUCUUACCAGAAAGGGACGGCUAACUACGUG